rnacentral:rRNA from 1 species
AAUCACUUGUCUUUUAAAUGAAGACCUGUAUGAAAGGUAUGACGAGGGCUUAACUGUCUCCUCUUUCCAGCCAAUGAAAUUGAUCUCCCCGUGCAGAAGCGGGGAUACACACAUAAGACGAGAAGACCCUAUGGAGCUUUAGACAACAGGGCAGACCACGUUAAAAAUGCUUUAAAGCCACAAACAAGUGGGCACUGUUCAAAUGUCUUCGGUUGGGGCGACCCUGGGGAAAACAAAACCCCCACGUGGACUAGGAGCACAACCCUCGAUUUACUUAACCAUGCUCCCCGAAAUCAGAGACACCUCUCUAAUUAACAGAACUUCUGACCAGUCUGAUCCGGCUAACCGAUCAACGGACCAAGUUACCCUAGGGAUAACAGCGCAAUCCCCUUCAAGAGCCCUUAUCGCCAAGGGGGUUUACGACCUCGAUGUUGGAUCAGGACAUCCCAAUGGUGCAACCGCUAUUAAAGGUUCGUUUGUUCAACGAUUAA